rnacentral:rRNA from 1 species
GGAGCGCGCUACCAUGCAGUCGAGCGGAUGAAGUAGCUUGCUACCGGAUUCAGCGGCGGACGGCCUGUGUAAUGCUUAGGAAUCUGCCUAUUAGUGGGGGACAACGUUCCGAAAGGAGCGCUAAUACCGCAUACGUCCUACGGGAGAAAGCAGGGGACCUUCGGGCCUUGCGCUAAUAGAUGAGCCUAAGUCGGAUUAGCUAGUUGGUAGGGUAAAGGCCUACCAAGGCGACGAUCUGUAGCGGGUCUGAGAGGAUGAUCCGCCACACUGGGACUGAGACACGGCCCAGACUCCUACGGGAGGCAGCAGUGGGGAAUAUUGGACAAUGGGGGGAACCCUGAUCCAGCCAUGCCGCGUGUGUGAAGAAGGCCUUUUGGUUGUAAAGCACUUUAAGCGAGGAGGAGGCUACCUAGAUUAACACUUUAAGAUUGUGGCAGUUACUCCCAGAAAUAAUUCCCGGUUAUCUUUGUUGCUAGCCAGCCUCGUUUAAUUCAAGAGGGGGGCGAGCCGUUAAUUCAGAUUUUUCGGGGGGCGUUAUGACUUUGCCUUUGCGCGGGCCAACUUAAGAUCAAUAUGUCUCAAAUUCACCUGUGCUCUUUAUCUAUGGUUACAUUUGUCAAAUCAAAAUACCGGGAUGUCGCCUCGUACCUUGUUGGAAAUAGUUACUAUUCUACUCAUCCUUCCCGCGGAGCUUACUUGUUCCACAAUCUUCGCUAAAACACUACUUUCACUAUCUUCACCCACUGGUCAUUAAGACCCCCUCUUUUCUUUACUUUAAUAUUGGCCAUCUACUUGCCAUUGUUAUUUAUUUUUGUCCACAACUAUAUCGCUUAAUUGCUCUCCGGUGUUUACUCCCCGUCACUUUUCGCUCUCUCUACCCCACUU